rnacentral:rRNA from 1 species
UAGGGAAUAUUGGACAAUGGGCGAAAGCCUGAUCCAGCCAUCCCGCGUGCAGGAUUAAGGCCCUAUGGGUUGUAAACUGCUUUUAUCAGGGAAGAAACCGAGAGAUUCAUCUCACGUUGACGGUACCUGAUGAAUAAGCACCGGCUAACUCCGUGCCAGCAGCCGCGGUAAUACGGAGGGUGCAAGCGUUAUCCGGAUUUACUGGGUUUAAAGGGUGCGUAGGUGGUCUAGUAAGUCAGCGGUGAAAGCCCAGAGCUUAACUCUGGAAUUGCCAUUGAUACUGCUAGGCUUGAGUACAGUUGAGGUGGGCGGAAUAUGUCAUGUAGCGGUGAAAUGCUUAGAUAUGACAUAGAACACCAAUUGCGAAGGCAGCUUGCUAAACUGUAACUGACACUGAGGCACGAAAGCGUGGGGAUCAAACAGG